rnacentral:lncRNA from 1 species
CAAUUGUUUUGAAAACAAUUGUUAGGCAGUCUUUCCCCUCUGAUGAAUGGACAAUUGAUUUUUUUGAUUUAUUGAUUUGGAAAAAGGGGGGGGGGUAUUUGUUUGUUUGUUUGUUUUUGUAAAGGGUCUAUAUUAUUUAGUUACCGGAGAAGUUUCAUGUUUAGUUUGGAAAGUUUUUCUUUUAUUUUAGAUACAGCGCGCGCGCAAGAUUGAGGAGACAUCACGUGACGCGGGUUUAUAUUAAGAAAAACUUAGUCUUUUUAUUUCUCUUUAGGUCGGGACGUUAAACAGACAACAUGUAUAGAGAUGGAAUGCACACAAUGUAAUUUCUUUUGUCAUUGUAGG